UCAAACACUCACAUCCCUCAUUAUGGACGGGUGGAGAUCAGGUUCACGGUGAUGGUGAUGGUGUGAGGGAGACUUGAGAAGAAGGAUCAUAGCUAACUUCCGUUUAGUUUUAACUUGUCUAAACUUGGUCUUUAGAAGUCUUGAUGGUUUAGUUUAUUUCUUAUGUUUUGAGUAUCGACUUGUGUAAAGCUCAGGGGGUUGGUAUAAUGUUUUAGAUGACUUUUCUUUUAAGUAUAGACUCCUGUAAAGAAUAUGUCAUUGGUUUCAUUGAGAAGCUUAGGGAGUAUGUUUAAUGUUGUUGGAUUCACUAACUUUUUAAGAUUGAAGCAUGGAUUAAUCGUUUUGGUUUGGUGUUAUUA